GACGAACGCUGGCGGCGUGCUUAACACAUGCAAGUCGAACGGAAAGGCCCUGCUUUUGUGGGGUGCUCGAGUGGCGAACGGGUGAGUAACACGUGAGUAACCUGCCCUUGACUUUGGGAUAACUUCAGGAAACUGGGGCUAAUACCGGAUAGGAGCUCCUGCUGCCUGGUGGGGGUUGGAAAGUUUCGGCGGUUGGGGAUGGACUCGCGGCUUAUCAGCUUGUUGGUGGGGUAGUGGCUUACCAAGGCUUUGACGGGUAGCCGGCCUGAGAGGGUGACCGGGCACAUGGGGACUGAGGUACGGCCCAGACUGCUACGGGAGGCAGCGGUGGGGAAUAUUGCACAAUGGGCGGGAGCCUGUUGCAGCAACGCCGGGUGCGGGAAGACGGCCCUCGGGGUGCAAACCGCUUUGGCCUGUGACGAAGCGUGAGUGACGGUAAUGGGUAAAGAAGCACCGGCUAACUACGUG
rnacentral:rRNA from 1 species